rnacentral:rRNA from 1 species
UACGGGGGAGCAAGCGUUGUUCGGAUUACUGGCGUAAAGGGCGCGUAGGCGGCGCAACAAGUCACUUGUGAAAUCUCCGGGCUUAACUCGGAGCGGUCAAGUGAUACUGUCGUGCUAGAGUGCGGAAGGGGCAACUGGAAUUCUCGGUGUAGCGGUGAAAUGCGUAGAUAUCGAGAGGAACACCUGCGGCGAAGGCGGUUGCUGGGCCGACACUGACGCUG